AUUGAACGCUGGCGGCAGGCCUAACACAUGCAAGUCGAGCGGAUGAAGGGAGCUUGCUCCUGGAUUCAGCGGCGGACGGGUGAGUAAUGCCUAGGAAUCUGCCUGGUAGUGGGGGAUAACGUCAGGAAACGGGCGCUAAUACCGCAUACGUCCUGAGGGAGAAAGUGGGGGAUCUUCGGACCUCACGCUAUCAGAUGAGCCUAGGUCGGAUUAGCUAGUUGGUGGGGUAAAGGCCUACCAAGGCGACGAUCCGUAACUGGUCUGAGAGGAUGAUCAGUCACACUGAAACUGAGACCCGGUCCAGACUCCUACGGGAGGCAGCAGUGGGGAAUAUUGGACAAUGGGCGAAAGCCUGAUCCAGCCAUGCCGCGUGUGUGAAGAAGGUCUUCGGAUUGUAAAGCCCUUUAAGUUGGAGGAAGGGCAGUAAGUUAAUACCUUGCUGUUUUGACGUUACCAACAGAAUAAGCACCGGCUAACUUCGU
rnacentral:rRNA from 1 species